AUUUGAUGAUGUGGGCAUUGUAUUUGAAGAUCAUUAAAUCUAUCCCAAGCUUCGUAAAAUUCUUCAUUAGUUUUUUGUCUAAAUGUUUGAAUUUUAUUUCGAAUAUC
rnacentral:snoRNA from 1 species